rnacentral:rRNA from 1 species
AGGUGUGCUAAUACCGGAUACGCUGAUUUAUCAGGAAAGGUGGCCUCUUCAUGAAAGCUACUGUGCUGGGAGGAGCUUGCGUACCAUUAGCUAGUUGGUGGGGUAAUGGCCUACCAAGGCAACGAUGGUUAGCGGGUCUGAGAGGAUGAUCCGCCACACUGGAACUGGAACACGGACCAGACUCCUACGGGAGGCAGCAGUGAGGAAUAUUGCGCAAUGGGGGAAACCCUGACGCAGCGACGCCGCGUGGAUGAUGAAGGCCUUCGGGUCGUAAAAUCCUGUCAGAUGGAAAGAAAUGGUAUAUGCCUAAUAUGUGUAUAUCUUGACGGUACCAUCAAAGGAAGCACCGGCUAACUCCGUGCCAGCAGCCGCGGUAAUACGGAGGGUGCAAGCGUUGUUCGGAAUUACUGGGCGUAAAGCGCGCGUAGGCGGCUUUUUAAGUCAGAUGUGAAAGUCCACGGCUCAACCGUGGAAGUGCAUUUGAUACUGGGAAGCUUGAGUACUGGAGGGGAUGGUGGAAUUCCCGGUGUAGAGGUGAAAUUCGUAGAUAUCGGGAGGAAUACCGGUGGCGAAGGCGACCAUCUGGCCAGAUACUGACGCUGAGGUGCG